rnacentral:piRNA from 1 species
UGCGACUCUUAAAGUGACUGCCGAUAAGUUU